rnacentral:rRNA from 1 species
CGAACGCUGGCGGCGCGUCUUAAGCAUGCGAAGUCGGACGGCAAGGGUUGUGCUUGCACAACUCCUAGAGUGGCGGACUGGUGAGUAACGCGUGGGUGACCUGCCCUCGAGAUGGGGAUAGCCAUUAGAAAUAGUGGAUAAUACCGAAUACGCUCAUGACCCUGUGGGGAUAUGAGGAAAACAGGCUACGGCCUGGCUCGAGGAUGGGCCCGCGUCCCAUUAGCUAGUUGGUGAGGUAACGGCCACCAAGGCGACGAUGGGUAUCCGGCCUGAGAGGGUGUACGGACACAUUGGGACUGAGAUACGGCCCAAACUCCUACGGGAGGCAGCAGCUAAGAAUAUUCCGCAAUGGACGAAAGUCUGACGGAGCGACGCCGCGUGGAUGAAGAAAGGCCGGAAGGUUGUAAAAUCCUUUUGCUGAUGAAGAAUAAGUGUGGUAGGGAAUGACCGCAUGAUGACAUUAGUCGGUGAAUAAGCCCCGGCUAACUACGUGCCAGCAGCGGC